rnacentral:rRNA from 1 species
AAACUCAAAUGAAUUGACGGGACCGCACAAGCAGCGGAGCGUGUGGUUUAAUUCGUUGCUACACGAAGAACCUUACCUGGGUUUGACAUAUAGGUUGUAGGGAACUGAAAGGGACCGACCUUCGGGAGCCUAUACAGGUGUUGCAUGGCUGUCGUCAGCUCGUGUCGUGAGAUGUUCGGUUAAGUCCGCUAACGAGCGCAACCCUCGUCGUAUGUUAUAUGUGUCAUACGAGACUGCCGGUAAAAGCCGGAGGAAGGUGAGGAUGAUGUCAAGUCAGCAUGACCUUUAUAUCCAGGGCUACACACACGCUACAAUGGUCUGUACAAUGGGUAGCCAAGCCGCGAGGCGGAGCCAAUCCUGAAAGCAGGCCUCAGUUCAGAUUGCAGUCUGCAACUCGACUGCAUGAAGCCGGAGUUGCUAGUAACCGCAGGUCAGCAAUACUGCGGUGAAUACGUUCCCGGGUCUU